CACUCGCGCACGCCGGCGCCUUCCUCCCGGCGCCUGGGGUUGGUGGCGCGCGGGGCAGAUGGAGUGGGUGCUGGCGGAUGCGUUGCUGUCGCAGAGCCGGGACCCACGGGUUCUGCUUGGGGCGCUGUGCCGCGGGGAGGCGUCCGCGGAGCGCGUGGAGACGCUGCGCUUUCUUCUGCAGCGGCUCGAGGACGAGGAAGCACGCGGCGGCGGCGCGGGCGCGCUCCCGGAGGCGGCGCAUGAGGUGGCCGCCGGGUAUCUGGUGCCGCUGCUGCGGGGCCUGCCGGGGCGCCUCAUGGGCGGCGCGGACACCGGCCCCCCGGCCCGCCAGCGCCGGCGCGUGCUGAGGGCGGCGGGCGCGGCCCUGCGCUCGUGCGCCCGCCUCGCCGGGGGCCCGCAGCUGGCGGCCGCUCUGGCAGAGGAGGCGCUGCGUGACCUGCUCGCCGCGAGACCUGCACCCGGCCUCGAGGGGGCCUGCGAGGCCGCCGUGGAGGUGCUGGCGGCCGUGGGGCCCUGCCUGCGGCCCCUCGAGGACGCGCCGCUGCUGGAGCGGGUGGCGCAGGCCGCCCUGGCCCUGGCGCUGGGCGGGGACGAGGCGGGGCCCUCCGAGGACGCGGUGGCACUGGUGGCCGGGCGACUGUUGCCAGCACUGGGCCAGUGCGGCGGGGCAGCGCUGCGGGCCGUGUGGGGAGGGCUGGUCGCGCCCGGGCCCCCCUUGGGGCCGGGCCUAGUAGGGCCACAGCUCUUGGUGCUGAGCGCCUUGGCCGAGAAGCUGCUGCCCGAGCCCGGCGUGGACUGUGCCCCGGCGGCACGCGAGGCGGGCCCAGACGCCCGGCGCUGCUGGCGGUUUUGGAGGACAGUGCAGGCUGGGCUGGCCUGGGCCGAGGAUGCCCUGACGCGCAAGCGGGCGCGCUACCUGCUGCAGCGGGCUGUGGAAGUGUCGGCGGAACAGGGGGCCGAUUACGCGUGCGCCCCGGGAGAAGAAACCGGCCCAAGUCUAUUUUGGUGGUCUGAGAAGAAAAAAGAUGAGCUUCUAAAGUUUUGGGAAAACUAUAUUUUAAUUAUGGAAACUCUUGAAGGAAAUCAGAUACAUGUUAUAAAGCCAGUUUUACCAAAGCUAAACAAUCUGUUCGAAUAUGCAGUGUCAGAGGAAAAUGGAUGUUGGCUCUUUCACCCAUCUUGGCAUCUGUGUAUUUAUAAAAGAAUGUUUGAAAGUGAAAAUAAAAUCCUGACCAAAGAAGGUGUUACUCACUUUUUGGAGCUGUAUGAAACCAGGGUUCUUCCGUUUUCACCAGAAUUUUCUGAGUUUAUUAUUGGACCAUUAAUGGAUGCACUUUCAGAGAGCUCUCUGUAUAGCAGGUCCCCAGGCCAGCUGAUAGGAAGUGGCUCUCCACUGGGAUUGAAAUUACAGAAGUUUUUAGUCACUUACAUUUCCCUUCUUCCAGAAGAAAUAAAGAGUAGUUUCCUGUUAAAAUUUAUUCAGAAGAUGACAAGUAGACAUUGGUGUGCUAUUCCCAUUUUGUUUCUCUCUAAGGCUCUGGCCAGUGUUCCGAGAUGUAAAGCUCUGGGUGUAGAAGGCCUUCUUGCCCUCAGGGACGUCCUGCAGUGCACCAUGAUCACACACCAGAUCCUGCUGAGAGGGGCGGCCCAGUGCUAUCUCCUUCGGGCGGCUAUCAACCUGGUAGAUGUGGAGAAAGUGUCCCUUUCUGACAUGGCGACUUUUCUCAUGUCUGUGAGACAAGAGGAGUCCUUAGGACGCGGAACCUCGUUGUGGACAGAGCUCUGUGAUUGGCUGUGUGUUCAUGAGAGCUGUUUUAGGCGAAACUCGCCUAGUAGCUCCGUUGGGCUUGCUGAGACAUCCUUUUUAAAUGCUUAUGUAAAGAACCUCAUCCAUGAAUAUAUUAAGUCGCCUGCCUGGGAAAGAGGCGAAAACUGCUGUAUGCCUGACUGGUUUGAAGCCAAGCUUGUUGCUAUGAUGGUCUUGCUGGCCGUGGAUGUGGAAGGAAUGAAGAGUCAAUAUAGUGAAAAGCGGAGAACACAGAAUGUAUUAAGGAUAUUCUUAGAUCCUCUUCUGGAUGCCCUUGUGAAGUUUGGUACCAAUGCCUACAUGCCUUUGCUGAAAACUGACAGAUGCCUGCAGUUGCUGUUGAAGUUACUGCACACUUGCUUGUUGAAAGGUUCCGGUACCCAAGAUGUUGCACAGUCUUUUUUUCCCCAUACAGAUGAGGUGUCGACUCUUCUUCAAAACUUUGUUAUGUCCACUACGGAGAGCAUUUCUGAAUUUAUUCUUAGAAGACUUACCAUGAAUGAACUAAGUAGUGUUUCAGAUCUGGAUCGUUGCCAUUUAUAUCUGAUGGUAUUAACUGAGCUUAUAAAUCUCCAUUUGAAGACUGGGUGGAAAAGAGGUAACCCUAUUUGGAGAGUUAUUUCUCCUUUGAUAAAUGCAUCCAUCCGGCAUCUUCAGGAGACGGGAAGUGGACAGGAGCCGACGCUGGGCACACAGAUUCAGAGAGCCGUCAGCAUGGCUGCCUUGGCCAAGGUCUGCGAGGCCAUCGACCAGAAGUCAGAGCUGCAGCCAGACUCCCUGGAUGCAGGCCCCAUGGAAAGGUUCCUCUCCUCCCUUCAGCUCAACCAGACGCUGCAGAAGCCCCUCACCGAGGAGGACGGCAGUUUUUCCGAGGAAUCAUCAUCUUCCCAAGGAUGGGGGAAAAUAGUUGCACAAUAUAUUCAUGACCAGUGGGUCUGCCUCUCUUUCUUGUUGAAAAAAUAUCACACCCUUAUACCAACCUCAGAGAGUGAAAUUCUGGAACCCGUUCUCCCUGCUGUUCAAAUGCCAGUAAGGACUUUGCAGUCUGCACUAGAAGCCCUCACAAUUCUUCCUUCCGAUCAAGUUUUACCUGUGUUCCAUUGCAUGAAGAUUUUGGUUCCCAAGCUUCUGACCUCCUGUGAAUCACUCUGCAUAGAGUCUUUUGACAUGGCCUGGAAAAUCAUAGCUUCUUUAAGCAACACUCAACUGGUAUUCUGGCCUAAUUUAAGAGCUUUUGUUCAAUUUGUUUUUGAUCCCAAAGUUCUGACCAUUGCUGCAAAAACCAAGGGCCAGACGUAUUUCAAAAUAAAAGAGAUUAUGUACAAGAUAAUUGAAAUGUCGGCUAUGAAAACUGGAGUCUUCAAUAUAUUGAUAAGUUAUUGCUGCCAAUCUUGGAUAGUUUCUGCUUCAAAUGUGUCCCAAGGAUCUUUAUCAAGUGCUAACAAUUACAGUGAACUUGUCCUGGAGGCGUGUGUAUUUGGGACAGUGUUUCGGCGUGAUCAGAGGCUUAUCCAGGAUAUACAGACCUUUGUAGAAAAUCUCGGACAUGAUUGUGCAGCGAAUGUUGUUAUUGAAAAUACUAAAAGAGAGGACCAUUAUGUGAGAAUUUGUGCUGUCAAAUUCCUGUGUUUAUUAGAUGGCUCAAAUAUGUCUCAUAAGUUGUUCAUAGAAGAUCUUGCAGUCAAACUAUUAGAUAAGGACGAGUUGGUGUCCAAGUCUAAGACUCGAUACUAUGUGAAUUCUCACCAACACAGAGUGAAAAACCGGAUAUGGCAGACUCUGCUGGUACUUUUCCCCAGAUUCGAUCAGAAUUUCUUAAACAGAAUUAUUGACAAGAUUUUCCAGGCUGGUUUCAUCAAUAAUCAAGCAUCCAUAAAGUAUUUUAUAGAAUGGAUUAUUAUACUGAUUCUUCAUAAAUUCCCCCAGUUUCUUCCAAAGUUCUGGGACUGUUUUUCUUAUGGCGAAGAAAACCUUAAAACAAGCAUUUGUACCUUUUUAUCAGUUUUGUCACAUUUGGACAUCAUUACUGAAAAUAUUCCAGAAAAGAAACUGAUUCUGAAGCAAGCCCUUAUUAUCGUACUGCACUGGUGUUUUAAUCAUAACUUCAGCAUUCGACUGUACGCCAUGGUUGCUCUUAAGAAAAUCUGGAGCAUGUGUAAAUCAUUGCACAUUGAAGAACUUGACGCUCUGACUUCUGUUAUUGAGUCCAGUCUUGACCAGGUGGAGAACAUGCAUGGAGCAGGGAACGCCAAGAAGAAUUGGCAGCGCAUCCAAGAACAUUUCUUCUUUGCAACAUUUCACCCACUUAAGGAUUACUGUCUCGAGGCAGUGUCUGGCUUGUAAACACUGGAAGGGGGAAUAUUUAACUCUGAACAGAAAUCUGUUCUGACAUUAAAAGGAAAUGAGUGAGAACAUUUGUGCAGACCAUAUUUUACGUCCUUCCGCGCCUCUCCGGCCUUGUCGAAGAUGAAUGGAUCGCCAUUGAUAAAUUUACCAGGUUCACUGACAUUCCUUUAGAUACAGGAUUUCAGUGGUACCUUUCUCCAACUCAGCUCUGUGAACUGACACCAAGUGACUGGUCUCAGCAGGACAUAGGUCCUCACUCAGGUGAAGCAGAUAACCAGUCAGAGUGGGCUGAUGUUCAGAAGAAGAUUAUCCCAUGGAAAAAUAAUGUUCCAGACUUAGACCUGGAGCUGGUGUUUCAGGAUCGUGCUGCUAGACUCGGAAAAUCAAUCAGUAGGCUGGUUGUAGUGGCCUCACUCAUUGAUAAGCCAACCAAUUUAGGAGGGCUUUGCCGGACCUGCGAGGUGUUUGGCGCCUCGGCCCUUGUCGUCAGCAGCCUUCAGUGCAUCAGAGACAAGCAGUUUCAGCACCUCAGUGUUUCAGCAGAGCAGUGGCUUCCUUUAGUGGAGGUCAAACCACCUCAGCUAAUCGAUUAUCUGCAAGAGAAAAAAGCAGAAGGUUACACCAUAGUGGGUGUGGAACAAACUGCCAGAAGUGUAGACCUAACCCAGUUCUGCUUUCCUGAGAAGUCCCUCCUCUUGUUGGGCAAUGAACGUGAAGGAAUCCCGGCAAAUCUGAUUCAGCAGCUGGAUGUGUGUGUGGAGAUUCCUCAGCAGGGAAUCAUCCGCUCCCUCAACGUCCAUGUGAGCGGAGCUCUGCUGAUCUGGGAAUACACCAGACAGCAGCUCCUGAGGCCCGGGGACGCUGGGUCCUGAAGCGCGUGCCUUCCCUGACAUGAGUUAGCGGUGCUAUUCAAACACUGUUUUCAAUCUAUGAAGAAAUAGAUUCUAAAAUCCACUGGGCUAAUUUGCAUUUCCUCUUUCAAUUUAAUGCCAAAACUCUGUCAUGUGCCUUAAAUAUUUUACUAUAUGUUGUCCCCUUUAAUAAACAUUUUUAGCUAA